UGGGGAAUAUUGGACAAUGGGCGAAAGCCUGAUCCAGCCAUGCCGCGUGUGUGAAGAAGGUCUUCGGAUUGUAAAGCACUUUAAGUUGGGAGGAAGGGCAGUAAGCGACUACCUUGCUGUUUUGACGUUACCGACAGAAUAAGCACCGGCUAACUCUGUGCCAGCAGCCGCGGUAAUACAGAGGGUGCAAGCGUUAAUCGGAAUUACUGGGCGUAAAGCGCGCGUAGGUGGUUCGUUAAGUUGAAUGUGAAAGCCCCGGGCUCAACCUGGGAACUGCAUCCAAAACUGGCGAGCUAGAGUAGGGCAGAGGGUGGUGGAAUGUCCUGUGUAGCGGUGAAAUGCGUAGAUAUAGGAAGGAACACCAGUGGCGAAGGCGACCACCUGGGCUCAUACUGACACUGAGGUGCGAAAGCGUGGGGAGCAAACAGG
rnacentral:rRNA from 1 species